rnacentral:ncRNA from 2 species
UUUGCAAAUAAUGUCAUCGGUGCUCAAAGUGCCUAACAGGGAAAGCGGUGAAAAUCCGCUGCAGCCCCGCUACUGUAACGAGCUACGAACGUCACACAACUCCGUCUGCUGCGAUAUGCCACUGUCCGAAUGUCAUGGAUGGGAAGGCGUGACAAGUAGGUUUGAAGCUCGAAGCCAGGAGACCUGCCGCAUGACUGACUCCAGC